AUGCAGACACAUGCACACACAUGGGGGACUCAGGGGGCGUGGUCACAGCUUUGUGUAGGCGCUUCUAUGGCUGUGCACACCCACACGCGCACGCCAGAGCAGGGGGCGUGGCCACGGCCUAGAGCAUGCCCAUGCACGCAGACACCCGUAGGCACAUGUGGGAUGCAGGGGGCGUGGCCACGGCUGCGAGCCAACACCUGGUGUCCCCCACGUGCACACACGUACACACACGUGCACACAUGUGCACACACACGCACACACACACACGCCAGGGACUUCGGAAAACUGUGUCUUAGGGAUGGGGGCGGGGGGAUCUUUUCCAGUCUCUUCCUCUCAGUUCUUCUCUGCCUUUGUUCUUUUCCUCUCUUUUCCCUUUUUUUAAAAAUAAGAUUCAAAUUCUUAAAAAAAAAAAAAAAGACAAAACACGGGUCGUGGGGGCGUGGCCAGCCCGGUCCUCUCCCGCUGGCCCCGUCCGUGGCCUUCUGUGGACUCUGCUGUGCCCACCCCUCCUGUGUCACCCCGGCUGGGGGGCGAGCCCGGCCGGAGGUCCUGGGAGCCCCCACGCUGGCGGCCGGAGGCCCUGGGAGCCCCCACCCUGGAGGCUGGAGGCCCUGGGAGCCCCCACCCUGGAGGCCGGAGGCCGUGGGAGCCCCCACCCUGGAGGCCGGAGGCCCUGGGAGCCCCCACCCUGGAGGCCAGGAGUCCCGCGCGACCCCAGCGCCGCCCCGCGCGGGCGUUCUGUGUACAGAGAAUGACUUCUAUAUUUGCUGUGAACGGAGAAACACGGUGUCUACUAAAGUCCUCAACUCCAAGAGCUGUCGCCUGGGUCUUUGUGGGGGUCGGGGAGGGCAGGGAUUCCGCGGCGUCGGUCCUGGGGGGCCCUGGGGGGCAUUCCGAGGCUGCGGGGCCGGGCCUGUGGCCAGGGACCCCUCCCCACGGGCCCGAAGCCUCGGGCGGACAGGAGAGGCCGGCGUCUGGCCCUGGUCCAGCCGCACACACACAUCACACAUGGACCCAGGGAAACCUACGAGGCCCGGGCAGCGCCGCCAGCCCCGGGCGCCCCGGACAGGCGCCUGCGAUGGCCGCAGUGUUCAGGGGCUCAGAGUCCCAGGCUCUGGCCUGACCCUACCUGCAGGGCUGGUGGGCUGGGGUCGGCAGCCUCUUGUGCACUCCCGGGUCCUGGGGGGGAUCUCACACUGUGUGCACUCCCAGGUCCUGGGGGGGGGAUCUCACACUCAGUGUGCACUCCCGGGUCCUGGGGGGGGAAUCUCACACUCAGUGUGCACUCCCGGGUCCUGGGGGGGGAUCUCACACUCUGUGUGCACUCCCCGGGUCCUGGGGGGGGAUCUCACACUCAGUGUGCACUCCCGGGUCCUGGGGGGGUUGGCAGCCUCUGUGUGCACUCCCGGGUCCUGGGGGGGGGAUCUCACACUCUGUGUGCGCUCCCGGGUCCUGGAGGGGUUGGCAGCCUCUGUGUGCACUCCCGGGUCCUGGGGAGCACUGGUCACCUCCAUACUUGGUGAGAGGGUGCCCAGCCCUCACCUCAACGUCUGUUUCCUGCUUCCGAAACCUUCCUUACACUGA
ensembl:lncRNA